ensembl:lncRNA
GUCUGAAAGAAGAGCAUGUUGUACUGAUUCUAAAGAAAGAAAAAUACCAUUUGCAUCAUGUUUUGUCCUUCAGCGAUAAAAAGAAAUUUUCAGCAUAGCAAAAGAACAGAUCAAAUGUUAUUCCAGAUUUACAGGAGAAAAGAAAUCACAAGUUACAGAGUUGGAGACCCUACAGAAAACAAAGCAAAGGAGAGGUUUUGUUAAAAAGAUGUCCUGGCAAGAUCUCCUCCUCCUCUGUCCCAGAUCAUCUAGCUGCAGUUACCAGGAUUUUGCAAUCACAGAAUCACAGAAUCACAGAAUCGCUGAGGUUGGAAGGGACCUCUGGAGAUCAUCUAGUCCAACCCCCCUGCUCAAGCAGGGUCACCUAGAGCACAUUGCACAGGAUUGCAUCCAGGCGCGUUUUGAAUAUCUCCAGAGAAGGAGACUCCACAACCUCUCUGGGCAACCUGUUCCAGUGCUCUGUCACCCUCACAGUGAAAAAGUUUUUCCUUAUGUUCAGAUGGAAGUGUCUGUGUUUCAGUUUGUGCCCAUUGCCUCGCGUCCUGUUGCUGGGCACCACUGAAAAGAGUCUGGUCCCAUCCUCUCGACACCCUCCCUUCAGAUACUUGUACACGUUGAUAAGAUCUCCUCUCAGCCUUCUCUUCUCCAAGCUAAACAGGCCAAGCUCUCUCAGCCUUUCCUCAUAAGAGAGAUGCUCCAGUCCCCUAAUCAUCUUUGUGGCCCUUCGCUGGACUUGCUSCAGUAGUGCCACAUCCCUCUUGUMCUGGGGAGCCCAGAACUGGACGCAGUACUCCAGCUGUGGCCUCACCAGGGCUGAGUAGAGGGGGAGAAUCACCUCCCUCGACCUGCUGGCAACACUCUUCCUGAUGCACCCCAGGAUACCAUUGGCCUUCUUGGCCACAAGGGCACAUUGCUGCUCAUGGUUAACUUGGUGUCCACCAGCACUCCCAGGUCCUUCUCCGCAGAGCUGCUCUCCAGCAGGUCAACCCCCAACCUGUACUGGUGCAUGGGGUUAUUCCUCCC